UACGUAGGGUGCGAGCGUUGUCCGGAAUUAUUGGGCGUAAAGAGCUCGUAGGCGGUUUGUCGCGUCUGAUGUGAAAUCUCUGGGCUCAACCCAGAGUCUGCAUUAGAAACUGUCGGGCUUGAGUAUGGGAGAGGUGAGUGGAAUUUCCGGUGUAGCGGUGAAAUGCGUAGAUAUCGGAAGGAACACCUGUGGCGAAAGCGGCUCACUGGACCAUAACUGACGCUGAGGCGCGAAAGCUAGGGGAGCAAACAGG
rnacentral:rRNA from 1 species